CGCCGCGCGGCCAACGACCCUUCAUGGCGUCCCGCACGCCCGGCUUCGACUCCCUGCGUCCGCUCUGGCGGCCUGGAGACGGCCGGGGAAGGAGACGAGGACACGGGGACGAGGAACGGUCCCGCAGAAAGGUUCCAGCAGCCUUGAAUUCUUCAGGAAACUCUGUCCCAAUUAAAUAGGCCAGGCAUCCGUCAAUGACUACUCGUGGAGCCCAAAGAAAUGAAAGUGUAAGGACUGCAGCAAAUGGGAGCCCCCGAGGAAGAGUGCUUUUCUUCAGCAGGCACCCAGCUAGCAAGCACACAUCUUCCUGAGGAGUAUCUCCAGCCUCCCUCUCUGAUUCUGCUCUUCCCUACAUAUUUGACGGAGAAGUGGAUAUUGACUGAGGUGGCAGGUCUGUAUUCCCAUUUGGAGAAGAAGAGGGGGACAUCUCCAGGAAAAGGAGGAUUCAAAUUCAGUUGCAAGAAAGGAGUAAAAAAAAAAAAAAAGAAAGCACAGGAGGAGUAGACAGACUUGCCUGCUAAACCACCAGAUGAGAUCUUCCUCAGUAAUUACCUGUCGGCAACAUCUACUAUGAUCCUAGCAUUUGAAAGGACAUAUUGAGGCUAAAGGAAGAGAUGGUUUGGCCAUGGUUGUUCAGCAGUCGCACCUCAGUAGUGACGUGCAGCCCACUCAGGUAGGAUCAAGCCUUCCUAAGGAGGCACCCUGUAAGAGGGCUGUUUGCCUACUGUGCCCACUCUGAGCAUCAGAACUCUGGCUUCAGGUAACAGCUGUGGUCCUUCCAGUCUCAAUAUAUUCUUGAAUAUCUUUAGGAUUGCCUCCAAUACAUAGGACUUUGUACAUGCAAUGUAAAGGAUAAAAUGAGGCUGGCUGAAACCACAAAAUGGAGAGGGAAGUAUGUAUGAGUAACUUGAUCCUAAUUAUAUUAAACCUAUAAUAACACACAGUGGAGUUUUUACUUUAACUUGCAGUUUCUCCUCCUCCCAACUGAGUCCUUAGCCACGCAUGCCUAAGGAGCAAUCUCUGUUCUGUUCUCUCUCUGCGUGUUAGUACGGUGUCGAGCUUUUGUUGACCCUCUUGUAUUUCGUGCUGUCCUUUCCUCUUUCAGGGCUGUUAAAAUGGUCAGCUCCUUGUACAAACCCCUUUUCAUCUUUUUGCAGCUUUUGAAUUUUUCCACCAAUAUAAUCUCUGCCAAUGGCAUUUCUAAGGACGUUGCUUUCUUCAGUGCUCAUUGCUAAAUUUUUAUAACCCACUAGCUUCUCUUUGUUUUUGCAGUCCAUUAACACUCCCUGUCUCUUGCAUUGAACUACAUACAGCCUCUAGGUCCUGCCCCUGGGUAGUGUCAGGACAGGGGAGGGGUUGGAGGAAAGCAUGGAGCAGGGUGGGGUAAGGUAGGUGUUAUAUUUUGCUUCUUUUGAUUAGAAGAGUAACUUUUAGAUUGGGUCUAAACUGAACAAAUCCCUUCAUUGGACAAAAAUGUUACCCUUUAACACAUCAAACAUAGUCUUUAUAGCCUUUCAGGAAAUUUUCUGAUUCACUAUUUUGUGCUCACAAAUCAUGUGGGAAACAAAAGCUUCAUAACACAUCAGUCACUAUUGGAGUCAGAGGGGAUUACUAAAACACCUCUCACCACCUUAAUUCAGAUCGAAUGGAGAGAGACACACAAGUCAGGAAAAUGAAAAUCAAAACUUUAUUAUGAAUAGAGUUAAUGGAGAAUGUGUCUUAGAGUGAGAGCCAAGUAGUAACAGCCUGCUGCCAGUCUAGUCCUUUGAACAGCCCACGAGAGGAAAAGUGUGAAUCUGUAGGGCAGAUACAUUAACCUAAGCCACUGGCUGUCACCCAUUUCCCAGGUGAUUCAUUCCACCUCCAUGUAGAGGAGGAAAAGGGUGGAGGGCAAGAAAUCAAGAUAAACUCUACUUCAUGGAAACCAGAGGAUGAAUUGCUCAAAAUAUAUGUUUUAUAAUGGAAUUUUAAAAAUACUUAAAAUAACAGUGACUAACUGUAACAGUCUCUAACAAUGACUUUUGAACUGUAGAAAAAUAAUUUCUUCAUUUGAGAUAAUGCCAAACAGAGCUAGGAGUUUCUAAAAAUCAGGGAAGUUAAUAUUUUCCUUUAUUAUGUGAAUGAUGAUGAAUGCUUUAAUUACCUAUAUAACUUUGUUGAUUCCACCAAUGAUUUAAUUUAAAAAUACAUACUUAAGAGAGUUAAAGUUUGUAAGAUUUGUCAUAUGCUAUUAAUUACUGCCCACUCCAUCCCUCCACCUUCCAUGGUAGUGAAUUUAAAGCUGGGUGUAUGGCCACCCAGCGAAAAAAAACUGUCCAGUCUGACUUGAAGCUAGGGGUGGCCAUGUGCCUAAGACUGCACCAGUGGAAUGGUAGAGAGGAAGUGAUGUGUGCCACUCCAGCCUUGUUUGCUUAAACGGAAAUGACUUGCUGUCUGCUUUCUUUCCCAUUUGUGGGCUAAGAUCCUGCCAUGGAAGAGAACAUUGGCACCAGGGAUACUUAAUAAACUAAUUGAGCAGAGCCUACCUACUUGCCAGACUGUGAGUUGAAGGCUAUCAGCUUUAGUCGACACAUGCAAACAGGUGGGAGGAGAUUGCAGUGCAAGUGCUCAGCACAAGUGAGGACACCUAGGCCAGGCCAGAUGCAAGCUGGAGUGUACCCCAUCUGAGGAAUCCCUACCUGGAUGUGCCUACAAGGCAGAAGUAGUGCCAAAGAGCUCUUCUUCUUACUGAUCCACAGGCAUGCAGGACUGCGACUGUCUUACUCUAUAGAUACAGAGAUGACUCUUUUAUCUUCAAAGGAUGUGCAGCCAAUUAGAGGAGACAGGGCUAGUUCUCCCCAUCUAAUAUUUGCAUCUGGUGCAGGGGACCUAGUCUAAGAUACAGGAGCCCUUCCUACAGG